AGCUGACAAAGUCAACGA
rnacentral:snRNA from 1 species